rnacentral:lncRNA from 1 species
GAAAACAGUAUUAGCUUGAAGGAUAAGAUGAAACUCACCUAGUAACUUGAGGAUUGUUGCCGGAGAGAUAUAUGUCCAACAGCUUACUUGCAAAUUUCACACCACAAUUUUCAGGAUCUAGUGAUCACAUAUAGAAUAUCAACUGCAGACGAAAGCAAAAUGAGUCUAAGCCAAGACAUCUCAUGCCAACAAUGAAGCAAAGUGUUAGGAGCCUAGAAUGACGAAGUUAUACAGUAUGUACUGUGAUAUAGAUACAUGUGCAUACCUGUGAAACUUUUAAUUUGCGCGUGUAGAGAACCAAGUUCUCAAAUGACUCUUAAGAGAAUUUCAAACACCUGCACGGCGGAAACCAUGAAAACAGAACCCCCCAAAAGAUGAAUGCAUCUACCACAAAAAUGAAAAGAAAGAUAUGUUGAUGAAGCACCAUUUGGUGACAUACCUCAUCCAGACGACCAUCAUUUUGACAGGAUUCAAGAUGCUCAAAAGAUAGGACCAUUAAUUUUUCCAACAUCUCAUAGACUACAUUUUUCGCUGAGCCAUUUUUAUAUAGAGACCGCACUGGAAACUGCAAAAGAGAAAUCAAAUUUAUGAAUUAGAGCUCUCCAGGAAAAAUCACAGAUGAAUCAAAUUCCAAAUUUUCAUAGUAAGAGAGAAAAAGCAUAUUGUAAUCCUUAAACUUUCAACCAUCAAGUUAAGUCUGUGGAUUCCGCAUAAGCAACAGAUAAACAAAGUAUCCCUACCUCCUCUCCUUCAUUCAUAGUGCCUUCAACUGCGACUUCAUGUUCCAUUUCAAACACCUCUCUACUAGAGUCAUCUUGGAGAAUAUCAUCCAACUCAAUCUCCAAACCACAAAAAUGCUAAAGCAUAUCAUUCACUUACCACUUUACUUACUGGAGCUUGUGUGCCCCUCCCUUUUCUCUGGUCCUUUUUUAACUGCCUUGGCUAUACUAUACUAGUAUGAGAAAAAAAAAACGUAGUCAUGAAGCAAAUUAGUCCACUUACAUCAAGGUCUCGCAACCUCUCCAUCACCACCAUAAGAAUCACCUUGCCAAGAACUUUCUGAUUGAGCUGUUCUCCAACUUCAACAAGUUAUCCACAUACGGCACUAAAACCUGCAGCUGCAAGACAGUAAAAUAGUUUUCGUUUCGUCAACAACAUGUAUAGGGUAGCUGUUACAUUGUCUAAGUUUUUAACAGAAUUAAUUUAAAACUUACAUGGUCUUUGUCGUAUAUGUUAGGCAUUCUCUGAACGAGUAUUGAGAGUAAUUUUGAGGGAGCAAUGGGAACUUAAUAAGAAAUCUUGUGAAGAGCUGCGUGCACCCGGGAAAGAAGCAACGCUUGUGCAUGAAUCACAUUUUGAACCACCAUCAACCUUAGCUACACAGCUCAGGCUCACCGGAAUCUCAAACGUAAGAUAUUAGACGUAGGUCGAUGGCUCCGCGAAAGUCGAAACCCUCAAAAAAACACCUACAAUUUAUUUCUCAAUACCUUUUAGUGUUAUUAAUUAAUAGAAACAGCAUGCACUUUUUGCCAAGAGAAGAGGGGAAAGGCCAACUUACAGUUUCAGGAGUAUGAACGUCUCGAGUUCUGAAUCCACGGUCCAAGACAUCGGAAAGUACUACUUGUCCUAUUAUC